rnacentral:misc_RNA from 1 species
GAUGAAGAACGUAGCGAAAUGCGAUACGUAAUGUGAAUUGCAGAAUUCAGUGAAUCAUCGAAUCUUUGAACGCAUAUUGCGCUCUCUGGUAUUCCGGAGAGCAUGCUUGUUUGAGUAUCAGUAAACACCUCAACUUCCAUAUCUUUUUUGAAAUGGGAGUUGGACUUGAGUGAUCCCAACGCUUUUCCUCACCGAAAAGUGGCGGGUUACUUGAAAUGCAGGUGCAGCUGGACUUUUCUCUGAGCUAUAAGCAUUUCUAUUUAGUCUGCCUAAAAAACAGAUUAUUACCUUUGCUGCAGCUAACAUAAAGGAGAUUAGUUCUUGUGCUGACUGAUGCAGGAUUCACAAAGACAGGCUUCGGCCGACUUUGUAAACUCGAUCUCAAAUCAAGUAAGACUACCCGCUGAACUUAAGCAUAUCAAUAAGCGGAGGA